GCCUUCGUGGUGUAGUGGUCAGUACGCUCGGCGCGUAAACGAGAAGUCCUAGGUUCGAAUACCGGCGAGGGCA
rnacentral:tRNA from 1 species